GACGAACGCUGGCGGCGUGCUUAACACAUGCCAGUCGAACGGAAAGGCCCUGCUUUUGUGGGGUGCUCGAGUGGCGAACGGGUGAGUAACACGUGAGUAACCUGCCCUUGACUUUGGGAUAACUUCAGGAAACUGGGGCUAAUACCGGAUAGGAGCUCCUGCUGCAUGGUGGGGGUUGGAAAGUUUCGGCGGUUGGGGAUGGACUCGCGGCUUAUCAGCUUGUUGGUGGGGUAGUGGCUUACCAAGGCUUUGACGGGUAGCCGGCCUGAGAGGGUGACCGGCCACAUUGGGACUGAGAUACGGCCCAGACUCCUACGGGAGGCAGCAGUGGGGAAUAUUGCACAAUGGGCGGAAGCCUGAUGCAGCAACGCCGCGUGCGGGAUGACGGCCUUCGGGUUGUAAACUGCUUUCGCCUGUGACGAAGCGUGAGUGACGGUAAUGGGUAAAGAAGCACCGGCUAACUACGUG
rnacentral:rRNA from 1 species